UACGGAGGGUGCAAGCGUUGUCCGGAUUUAUUGGGUUUAAAGGGUGCGUAGGCGGUCUUUUAAGUCAGUGGUGAAAUCCUCCAGCUUAACUGGAGAACUGCCAUUGAUACUGGGAGACCUUGAGUACAGACGAGGUAGGCGGAAUUGACAGUGUAGCGGUGAAAUGCAUAGAUAUUGUCAAGAACACCGAUUGCGAAGGCAGCUUACUAGACUGUAACUGACGCUGAGGCACGAAAGUGUGGGGAUCAAACAGG
rnacentral:rRNA from 1 species